GUGAAAACGAUCGGUUUGGUGACAUUGGCAGAGCGUUGACAUGUCCACGGGGCAUGAGUGGGGAGUUUAAGAGUGAGAGGAAGAGACACCAGACAAUCAGACGGAGGAGCAACGAGAAACCAGAACACAUCCGUGGUCAUAUUCCAGCUGUGGAGAGUUAGUGAAGCCUGAGUCAUGCAUCCAGCUGUGUUGACCGCUGUCCUGCUAUUGGUGGGCGUCUUGGACGCCGUUACAGCCCAAUCUGAUGAAACCAUGUAUCCACCUUCGGAGAUCUGUGUAGAUCAUGAACCUGAGGAAUGUGGCGAGGACUGGAUCUACAUGUCUGAGGAUCGCUGUGUGAAAUCGAGACUCCAAAGACUUUCCAGGAGGCACAGGACGAGUGCGUCUCUGAAGGUGGCGGUCUGGUGUCACUGCACAAUGAGGGAGAAGUGAUUGAGGUGCUUUGUUUGAGCUAUUCUGCCAGUACUGACCUCAAACAAUUCUGGAUUGGAGCUGAAAUAUCAGGGGAAGAGUUUAAAUACGUUGAUGGAUCUGCAUUCGACUACCAUCAAUGGCAUAAUGGUCAACCAGACAAUUUUGCUGGAGACGAGGACUGCGUCGAGUUGAACUACGAAGAGUGGGGAUUGUGGAACGAUAACGUCUGCACAAAGAAGAAGCCCUUUGUGUGCGCCAAAGAGCUGUGAUCAUCACCAGCUAAUGUCACAUGAAAUCACAGUCAGCGUCGACACCGACAGCUGAUCAGCUCUGCUGCAGGUGGACCGGUCUGUUUCAUGAUAACCACUGAAAACACAAGCUCUUAAAUUUACUGCAAUAAAAACUUCAGCAUUCA